rnacentral:tRNA from 1 species
GCUAGGGUGGCAGAGCCCGGUAAUUGCAUAAAACUUAAGCUUUUAUUAUCAGAGGUUCAACUCCUCUCCUUAACA